GAUGAACGCUGGCGGCGUGCCUAAUACAUGCAAGUCGAGCGAACAGACGAGGAGCUUGCUCCUCUGACGUUAGCGGCGGACGGGUGAGUAACACGUGGAUAACCUACCUAUAAGACUGGGAUAACUUCGGGACACCGGAGCUAAUCCCGGAUAAUCUAUUGAACCGCAUGGUUCAAUAGUGAAAGACGGUUUUGCUGUCACUUAUAGCUGGAUCCGCGCCGCAUUAGCUAGUUGGUAAGGUAACGGCUUACUAAGGCAACGAUGCGUAGCCGAAGUGCGGGGCGGGUCGCCCACCUGGGAACUGAGACGGGGUCAAGAGGCCUGAGGGAGGGAGCAGUAGGGAACGGUACGCAAUGGGCGAAAGUCUGACGGAGCAGCCGCGCGUGAGUUAUGACGGCGUUCGGAGCGUAAAAAUGGGUUAUGAGGGAAAAACAAAUGUGUAAGUAACCAUGGCCGGAUUGACGGUACCUAAUAAGAAAGCCACGGCUAACUACGUG
rnacentral:rRNA from 1 species